rnacentral:rRNA from 1 species
CAUUACUGAGUUUACGCUCUAUAACCCUUUGUGAACAUACCUAUAACUGUUGCUUCGGCGGGUAGGGUCUCCGUGACCCUCCCGGCCUCCCGCCCCCGGGCGGGUCGGCGCCCGCCGGAGGAUAACCAAACUCUGAUUUAACGACGUUUCUUCUGAGUGGUACAAGCAAAUAAUCAAAACUUUUAACAACGGAUCUCUUGGUUCUGGCAUCGAUGAAGAACGCAGCGAAAUGCGAUAAGUAAUGUGAAUUGCAGAAUUCAGUGAAUCAUCGAAUCUUUGAACGCACAUUGCGCCCGCCAGCAUUCUGGCGGGCAUGCCUGUUCGAGCGUCAUUUCAACCCUCAAGCUCUGCUUGGUGUUGGGGCCCUACAGCUGAUGUAGGCCCUCAAAGGUAGUGGCGGACCCUCCCGGAGCCUCCUUUGCGUAGUAACUUUACGUCUCGCACUGGGAUCCGGAGGGACUCUUGCCGUAAAACCCCCCAAUUUUCCAAAGGUUGACCUCGGAUCAGGUAGGAAUACCCGCUGAACUUAAGCAUAUCAAUAAGCGGAGGAAAAGAAACCAACAGGGAUUGCCUCAGUAACGGCGAGUGAAGCGGCAACAGCUCAAAUUUGAAAUCUGGCCCUAGGCCCGAGUUGUAAUUUGCAGAGGAUGCUUUUGGUGCGGUGCCUUCCAAGUUCCCUAGAACGGGACGCCAGAGAGGGUGAGAGCCCCGUACAGUUGGACACCAAGCCUUUGUAAAGCUCCUUCGACGAGUCGAGUAGUUUGGGAAUGCUGCUCAAAAUGGGAGGUAUAUUUCUUCUAAAGCUAAAUACCGGCCAGA